UCUACACACCCACUCCACCCAAUAUACACUGAGCAAUGCGCGGACCCUACACCGGAAGUUACAGUCAAGAAGCUAGUGUUCAUGAGCUCGGCAGGAGUGGACCGGCAAAGACGAUACCGGGGGAGAAUAAGCGUCAGUUGACGGCGAAAUUCCACGGAAUGAAACGUAUUGAGUUACUUAUUGUGAACAUCAGCAUUGCAAGAGCCUGACGUCCAAGUGUUGAUAAGCCUUGUCUAUUUCUGAGGAAGGAGUGUGACUGGCCGCUCUGUUGACUGAGGACAAGGAUCCUGUUCUUUCUGUGACCCCGGUGCGUGUGUGUGUGACCAUAGUGUGUGAGCAGCUCUACCUCCCUAUGUGUGUCACAAUGGGGGACAUCAGUGACCUGGACCGACAGAUAGAGCAGCUCAGACGCUGUGAGCUCAUUAAAGAAAAUGAAGUCAAGGCACUGUGUGCCAAAGCCAGAGAGAUCCUGGUCGAAGAAAGUAAUGUCCAGCGAGUAGACUCUCCUGUCACAGUGUGUGGUGAUAUACAUGGUCAGUUCUAUGACUUGAAAGAGCUGUUUAGAGUUGGUGGUGAUGUCCCAGAGACAAAUUAUCUCUUCAUGGGUGAUUUUGUGGACAGAGGCUUCUACAGUGUGGAGACUUUCCUUCUUCUGCUAGCUCUUAAGGUGCGCUAUCCAGACAGGAUAACCCUGAUUCGGGGAAAUCAUGAGUCCCGCCAAAUCACCCAGGUCUAUGGCUUCUAUGAUGAGUGCCUUCGCAAAUACGGCUCAGUCACAGUCUGGAGAUACUGCACUGAGAUAUUUGACUAUUUGUCCCUCUCUGCUAUCAUUGAUGGCAAGAUCUUUUGUGUGCACGGUGGCUUGUCUCCCUCUAUCCAGACACUGGACCAGAUCCGAACCAUAGACAGAAAACAGGAAGUUCCACAUGAUGGGCCUAUGUGUGACCUACUGUGGUCAGACCCUGAAGACACCACAGGGUGGGGUGUGAGUCCCAGAGGUGCUGGCUACUUGUUUGGGAGUGACGUGGUGGCCCAGUUCAAUGCUGCAAAUGACAUCCACAUGAUCUGUCGAGCACACCAGUUGGUCAUGGAGGGCUACAAGUGGCACUUCAACGAAACAGUGCUCACUGUGUGGUCAGCACCCAACUACUGCUACAGGAAGAACAAACUUGUCUGAGCAAAAAAGGACCUGGCAGCAGGUGAAAAUAAAAUACAAGAACAUUUUGCAGGCUGCAGUCAAAAAAGAAUCCAGCCUGUUGCCCUUUGCUGCAUGUCAUCCCCCUUUUUCUCCCCCCUUCACGCUUACCUGUCCUGUCCAUUAAAGGCAAAAUGCCCAAAAAAAUAUCUUUAAAAAAAAAAAAAAAAAGCCCAUAAAACUGGCACGGGGGUGGCCCACCCAGCCGGACCUGACCACAGCAGAGGAGCUGGCACUUGAUUUGAAUAAAGAGAGGCCAGUGAUGGAGGGAAAGGACUGUGACAGACUCAGUCACUGCAACAGAAACUGGCUGCUUCAUACAAGGUACAUAUUGCAAUACUACUGCACAUGGAACACAAUCAAAAAUAUUAUACUGUCUGACUUUGGAUUUCCUUGCAGUGUCUGGGGACACACUUCUACUUUUGGAGCCACCAGAAGAUGAUCUGGCUAGUACUGUACAUUUUAUUGAAAUCACAGGCUUGGCAUGUCCUGUCAAAAUUCUUAAUACAUGUUCUCUUGGUACAUGUAUGUAUAUGGCAGAGGGAAGGCACAUCUGCAGCUGUAGAAUGCACAUCUGCAGAUGAGGAGACGGUGUCACUAGACUCCAGAAGGCUUGAGGUAUCAUGUCAGUUCUGUGGAAAUAUCCUGCUUAUUUAGUCCAUAAUGGAUAUGAAGUCAGUGAUGUGGUGCUAAUAGAAAAUGUUAUGUGUGUAACAGGACCCAGACACUGCAUGGCCUCAGAAGCAGCCUGAUAACAUUCUAAGUAUUGGCUAAAGUAAAUCUACAUUAUGCACAAAUCCUGCUGUGCUAAUUGACAUUUCUUUUACAGAAUUCACUGUCAGAGCUCCAUAUGGAAAACAUCUUGAGAGACAGAUAGAGCUGGCAGAAGUAAAAAUUCAAGUGGAGAAAAGAAAGCUGCAAGAAAUGGAGCUUGAUCUUGAAAUUAAAAGAAGGACCCUUGUGAAACUGGACCUAGAAAUCCAGAAAUUAGAAAGUGAAGUUCCAAGCAGACAAAAGAGGACUGGGAAAUAAAACAAUUGAACGACAAAACAUUGUGGUGUCCUCCCUUUUUCAUGAAUGUGCGGUAUACCAUUGAUUGGUGAAGUGGAAUUUAAAAGAUAACCACACACUGUGUGC